ensembl:lncRNA
CUGAAGCUCACGUUGUUGCUUCACACUUCUUAUCUAUAAAUAUGCUUCUCUUAUCUCAGUUUGCGGUGGGGAAAAACUGUGUCGCCUUUGUUAUACGGAGGCAUUAUAUCAACAAUUGGUCCAGGAAGCAGGUGUAAUGAGGGAACUUGCGUUGGGAUUGUGUUGCUCGUUAAAACAGAAGAAUCUUUUUGCUAUGAAGGAUGGCUGAAGCAACGUUGUUUGAACCUGAGGAGGAAGGUGCUGCUGCUGUGGAAGCCAAUCUCACCGCUGCAAACAAAACAAAGGGAGCAGAACAGCGAGGGGAUGACAGCGACUCGGUCACACAGCCUCUGCUUCAACACCAGGACAGCCGUGACGAGGGUCGCCGAGCAGACGUGCAAACGGCGACAGAUGGGGCCGACCGAGCGACAUCUGUUCCACAAGAGCUGGAAGUGGCUGGCAGGGAUCAGGCCGGCUGCAGUGGAAGUGUCAGGAGUUUGUGCAGCGACAACAGUCGCCACGAAUGCCCCAUCUGCAGCGAGCUGUUCGACUCGCACGGCGAUCACCGCCUCACCUUGCUCAACUGCGACCAUGCCUUGUGCCACCAAUGCACCACCAGCAUCAUGAGCCGGGCCAAAGACGCCAGCCGGCUCCGGUGCCCCUUCUGUCGGCAGAACACCCCGUUUCCUCAGUGGGAGAUCCGGCGGCUGCAGGAGGAGUCGUACUCCGACGGCGUCUACCAGCCAGCGGAGGACCUCGUCGUCGGUCCAGGCCCGGAACUUCCGGCCGUUCCAGUGUCGCCGUUGUGCUGCUUGACUCUGGAGAGGCAGCUGGAGGCUCAGACUGACAGAAACAUUUGUGGCUGCUGCAUGUAUCCGUCCUGCCUGGUCAGAGGCCUCAGAGUAGUUCGACUGCACUCGCUGUGUUUCUCCUUAUCGCUCAUCCUGCUGCUCUUCCUGGUGCUGCUCAGCUACUUUCUCUACAUGAUUGUUCCUAUGAUAAUGCUGUCGAUAUUCUUUAAUAAGGGCUAAGCUCGGUGGUGGAAAGUACAUUUACUCAAGUACCUGCACAUACGUGUACUGAAUAUUUCCAUUUUAUGCUGCUUCCCACAUUUAUUUAGUUAAGAUUUGACACAAUGGAUAAUUUAACACACUUUUAUAAGAACAACACAUAGCUUACAGCUGGUUGCUCCACUGAAUACUGAUUUUUCUCCAUAACUUUUCUCUAUAACUUGAUUUAAUUUCAAUUAAUGUUUUAAUGAUCCAAUGAAAAGUACAUUUACUUAAUUCCUGCACAUUUGAUAUUUGAGAUACUUGUAUUUUCAAUGAGUAUUUGCAAUUUUAUUCUGCUUUUUGCUGCUAGUCCCACAUUUAUUUAGUUACUUUCAAUGAGCAAAUAUGACAUAAUGGAUAAUAGAACAAGAUUUUAUAAUACAGUACAUAGUUAAAGAUUAAACCAGUUUCCGACCUUUUUUGGCUUCUUACCAAAAGCAUAGUGACGUCAGCUUCACAUUUGUUGUUAACAGCUGCACCAAAUGCUUAUUUUUCUCCAUAUCUUUUCUCUGUAACUUGGUUUCACUUCAAUAAAUCUUAAAAUGAUCUCAUAUAUCAGCAAAAAUCAAAGAUUAGAGGAGAAACUGACGAUAGAUUUGUGUUUCAGAACUUUGUUUUUGCCUUUUUUGCCUGAUAAUGCUCAGAUUUAUCUGCUGUUCCUGCAUCUAAAACUGAAUAUAAACUAGCUCCACGUGUAGGAACUGCAACCAUAACGUUCAAUAAUAAUAAUCUAAUGAUGCCUUAUAGCAUAAUAUACUGUAUAUAAUAAUAUAUCAGUCUGAGGAACCAAAGCAGAGAAGAACUUUUAUUUUAAUACUUUAACUACGUUUUGCUGCUAAUGCUUAUGUUUUCUUGACUGAAGCAGCAGUUUUCUUGCAGGUUUGUAACUUUUAAUUGAAUAUUUUUACAUUUUUGUAUAAGUAUUUUUACUUAAGUGAAGGAUCUGAAUACUUCUUCCACUUCUGCCUAAGCUUAUCACAUGAGUGAGCUGUUUAUGGCUCUGAAUUAACUGUUCUUCGUAUGUUCUAAUGUCAGAUUUGAAAUGGUCAUCUGCAUUUUGGCACAUUCAAACAGAGUUCGGGCUUCAGUUGUUUAAUUAACCUCGUUUAUUAUCUUCAAUUCAGAUCACAUGGUCAGUCCAAACUCACCUUUGGACUCAUCUAGCAGUCCUUUACUGUAAAUAUUACCAUUGGAAAAACUCCAACUUAGAGUUAGCAAAAGGAAAACUGGCUCCAGAAUGCUGAUUUGGAGGAGCACAUGAGGAAUUAGGUUUCAAUACUGUAAAAGUUAAUUGUAAAAUCUCAAAUUAAAGGGAUCCAAGUGUGUUAUUUGUCUGUCAACCUCUGACUCUGGUUUUCUUUGAGGACUGAUGCAGCUUUGUAGGAUUUGGUGCUCCGGAUAAUGGAGGUUUGACUUUGGAUCAAAACUCCUCAUAUCUUUCUGGGUCUCUUAAUGACCUACUUCUCAUCAGAGAUGCUCUGAGCUGCUCCUGCUGCAUAUUCUUAGCAACAAAAACCCAGCUUGAUCUGCUUUCAUAGAGCACAUGAAGGAAACUUGGCCCUACAAUCUGAGCCUUUAUAUCCAAAGUCUACACUCAAAGAGGAGAAGACAGCAGUGAUGAAAGCUGGAACUAAGACUCCUAUGGACUUGUUUCUUUCUUUCUUUUUUUUGUUCUGUUGGUGACGUACUUCUACUCUCUUAACUUUGUUAUGAUAUGCAUCCUUUUGAAGGAGAACAGUGGAGAAAAACACCACCUUUGUAGCAACCUGCUUACUUUGCAGUUUUAUUUUUCAGCCAUGAUUUCUACCAUUUCUCUAAAAAUGACCGGACAAGUGUUCUAUAUUUUGUUGACCUCUGCACUUAUUGUACACCAAAACAGUAUCCCAAAUAUUUCCUACAAUGUUCAAACCAAUGCCUUAAACAUGCAUUCUUUUAUUGGCCAGUAGGGGCCAGUAAGAUCUGACUGUGUAGAAGUCUGUGAGGAAAUGAACCUACUUCUCACCUGAUCUGUUACCUUAAUAAACAUUUUCUUAAUGAAUUUAUGGUCUUAAUCACUAGUUUAAUGUCUUCUUUAAUGCUUUAUGAUGUUCAGUUUGUAAAUUUUGGUCCCAUUUACAGUAAAAUAGAUGACAAAUCAGAUUCUCUGUCAUUCAUCCUUAUUCUUUAUGUCUUGGGUCAAAUAGAGCAAGAUGAUGACGACUAUAUAUCAAAUUCAAGGCUGCAAUCGUCCUGUGUAAACAG